UCUGGUUGCCCUGACGUUGUUAGAGAUGUGUUCGAGCCACGAUGAUGGCGAUGAUGAUUGACCCAUGAUGCAACCGUCACUAUUUCUGUACACAAGCACCUGUCAAACAGGUUAUUGAUUGUAGUGGUACUUGAUGACUAUUCUAUCCCCUUCUGCUGAGCAUUCGUAAAAGCUGCAUCCCCUAGUGAACGGUACAGAGGUUGAGGAAAGUUGAGGAAACCUUUUUCCCUUGUAUUGGAGAAUAGAAGGAGCAGUCUUCAAAGCAACAAUUGUCUGAAAUAUUCCCCAUCGCUCUGCCUUCAUAAAUUUCUGCACAAGAUCAGAUGAUCUUUUAAAGGGUAUGGAGCCAGGCAUGAGUCCGCUCCUUGCCUUGAAGCAGAUGGUACGUUGUGGGAUUUGGCCUGAGAAAUUGACAGUAGAAGCCAUUUCUUAGAUGAGAUUAAGAUGGGUGAAGGUUCUGAAAUAUGAAUUUGACAGGAUAGCAUCAAGCCAAGUCAGACAGAACAGAGCAAAGAAUAAAGAAGCAUCGCCCAAACCUUACCACGAUAUCAAAGAAUCCAUGUGCUAGGCAGUGAUCCAGGUUGAACUGUUAAAAGUAACAAGAACAACUUGGCCUGUAAGGUUUGCAAGGAAUCUCAUUUUAACUUCACCUUAAUAGGGAUUCAUCUAGUCUAACAUGUGUUUGAUAUAGAAUAUUUGUGGUCUAGGCAUCAGGGGUGCUUUAAUUCUCAGACUUAACGUUAUUUGCUUUUCUGGUUUA